rnacentral:lncRNA from 1 species
GGGGCAAAAAAAGAAGAAUAUAUAUGUGUGUUUGUGUUUUGAAUCACCGUAUAUAAAAUUACUCAUGGAUUGCUCUUAUUUUUGUUAAUCCUAUAAAUCACCAGGACCGUCAAGCAGAAAGGUCAUGGUUUCAUGAUCAAAAACGUACUUAGCUGAGUUAAAACAAUCGUGCGGAAUCCUGUGUGAAUGUUGAAUAUUUUGGUUUCCCUUUCAGGUUCUGGUUCAGUGCCCCAGACUCUGCCUCUGACUGUAACCAUGACUGAAAAUAUUGUUUCACCCGUUUCAGCAAUGACACCAUUUGUUACUUCUUUGCUUUACUACAGGGCUGGUAAAAGUCAAGAUCAAUCAACCACCUUUAAUAUUUCCACCAUGCAGAGAACUUUGCAGCCAACAUGCAAAAAGAGAUACAGUUGAAGUGAAGUCACGCUCUGGCAUCUUCAUAAAAUGGAAAGCCGAACAUGUAAUUUCUGCAUACCAGGACCGAACUGCCUAAAUUUCGCUGCCAAUGCCCUGAAGUUGAGAAAAUAAUUCAAAUAUAUAUUUGAAUAGACAGAGGACAGGAAUAUCACCUUGAAACUCUGGUUAACUAUUAUUAUUUUAAUUGCAAGCUGAUGUGGAAAUGCAAAGAACUGAAUUUAAGAUAGGAAAAAUAAGAAGUUGAGUGAAAUUGACAAAUAUUCCCAUUCUUAGUAGCUCCCACAUCCUGCUAAAUGGGAGAUAAUUUGCUUCAGGGGGUACCAUGAAGGCAGUGGGAGGAUAGAUACAAGAACUAAUGUAUUUAAAAUUGUGGGGGGCAUUUGGACUCCACUUCGGGUAUUAAAAUUCAGUGGGCCAGCACAGAUGUUGAGUAGCACUAAUCAAUAUGUCAUCAUUAGAUGUAUAUACUAUCCCAUAUAUUUUUGCAUUUCUGUAGUGAGAAAUGGUACAUGGAAACGAAUAUAGGCCCAUGGAGAAAAGCAUAAUAUACGGAAAAGAGACAGGCUAUAUAAGGAUGUAGAAGGGGAGACUGAGAGAAUGAAAAGAGGAAGCAGGAAAUGAAGGCAACAUUUGAAAAGCAAAACUGCCACACCAUAAUUUAUUAGGCAAACCAGGAAAUGAAUUACAGUUAAAGAAUGACAAGAGACAUUUCGGAAACUAUAUAUAAUAAAAAGUAAAUUCUGGACUGAUGGAUCAUGUGCUUCUGGAAAUAAAAUCACAUUGCCAUUUUCUCUCGCCAACCCACCAAAA